GCCGCGGUAUUUUGACCGUGCGAAGGUAGCAUAAUCAAUAGUCUUUUAAUUGGAGGCUUGAAUGAAUGGUCGGACAGGAAAAUAACUGUCUUUUAAAUAUAGGGUGAAUUUGACUUUUAUGUGAAAAGGCAUAAAUACUUCAGGGGGACGAUAAGACCCUAUAAAACUUUAUAAUUAAUGUUGAGUUUUUGAAUUUUUAAUAAAAGCUGAGCGGUAAUUAUUGAGUUGGGGUGACUGGAAUAAAAAUUUUUAACUGUUUUUAAGUAUUAAAUAAUUAUAAUUAGAUAAAGAUCCCUUAUUGGGGAUUAGAAGUUUAAGUUACUUUAGGGAUAACAGCGUAAUAUCUUUUGAGAGUUCAUAUCGACAAAGAUGCUUGCGACCUCGAUGUUGAAUUAAAAUUUCCUCUAGGAGUAGGAGUUUAGUAGGUAGGUCUGUUCGACCUUUAAAAUU
rnacentral:rRNA from 1 species